rnacentral:lncRNA from 1 species
AUGCGGACCUUACGGCGCACUACUCUUCGUGCAUCCCUGGCCCCCUCCUGGUCUUGCCCGGUCCCCCAAAAAGCUGCACACGCGUGUAAUGUCACGUUUUCCCCCGCUGGCAUACUUGCUACUGCAUCCGUAAGCAGUUUCCACAACGUUGCCAAAGGUACCAAAUCCUUUUCCCCAGACGAGAUACCAUUCCAUAAUUCUUGUCCAAGGCUAUCCCAUAUUGCCGUCUGCAAAAUAUUUUGGGCAUCCCACACUAUGCCCGUUUCUUUUGCCCAUAAAAGCAAUUUCUUUAAAGUAUCAGGGUCAUACUUAAGUCCUCUCAUAGACAGGAGAUGUUGCACAAGCUUCAAAAUAGCUUGCUCUUCAUAGCUUAAAUUAUUACCCAUGGUAGCGUAUGACCCAAAACGCGUUCGGCUGCUCACCUUUUUUCGUGGCCACAAUUAACGAAAGCUUCUCGUCUCUCAGCCGGUUUCUCCUUCUCCUUCUUCUUUUUUCUUCUUCUUCUUUUUUUUUUUCUUCUUCUUCUUCUUAAAUUGCCAACUGUCAAUUUCAAUAAGAAAUUGCGUGGUGCCCGUGGUGCCCCACGUUGGGCACCAUUUGCGGUGGGACUCAGACGCAGACCAAUACGAUCGUGCUGAAGCCCACUUUAUUGUUUUAACAAACUCUUUUAUAUCUUUCUUACAAACGUGUGUCCAUGCAUAAUUGGUUCACUCAAAGUCCAGCAGUCCAUGAUUGGAUGACCUCCUCCUUCUUUGUUCUCUGCGGUAACUUCAGUAACUCUCCUCUGCUGGCAGUCUGACAGGCCCUUAAUCUUAUUUACUCCCUUCUUCUCGGGACUCUCAGGCCUCUUCAAGGAUACACAGGCAUCUGCUCAAGGCCGAUGUUAAGCUCACAUUCCGAUCCCUCAGACCAGCCAAAGUUUCCCACAAUUUUACUCCUUGUCCAAGAAGAUUUUUUAAAUCUACUUUUUUAAUUAAUUAUUGCACCUACAAAGAAGCGUGAGCUCACAGUUCAGUCUGGGGGAUCAGUAGUUCUGGCUCUUCAAGAUCUGCUAUAAAAAUCCUAACGCCACUGUAGAGCUAUGGGACAAUUCCACACUUGAUAGCCUCUCCUCUCCAUUUUGGGGAGAAA